CGCUGACGUGAAGCCAUGGCCUGCUCUGAAGGAGAACCUUACGUCCGGGGAAGUACAGAAGACGGGGCUGCUUUGUAGGGCGCAGAGGUGAGAAGACAUGCUACCAGCAUCUGUCUUGUUUGUAAGCAAAGCACAGAAGACAGAUGAUCUGGCGCAGUAAAUCUACGGGCUGUUAUAAAUUACCAGCAGAUGAAUUGCUGACCUGUCCAGGGUGUAUUCCUGCCUCUCACCCAGUGCAUGCUGGGAUAGGCUCCCUCACCCCCCGUGACUCUGACCAGGAUAAGCCUGUAUAGAUAAUGGAUGGAUAUACAGCAUUGUGUACAGGACCUUUUUAUUGUGCGGCAUUUCCUGUAGUCUCUCAAGGACAAAGGAUGGGCAUUGCAUAGGGAGCAACACAAAUGUUUGUUUGCUGUAGGACAGAGCCCUUCGCUUGCACAUGGAGGCCAGAGGAACAGGUCUACGGUGUUUGGUGUCCAUGGUAACAAUAUCCCCUAAUGUUCCUCUUCCUUUGUUUUUUGACUGCUUUUGAGAUGAAACCAUGUUUUU